CCUACGGGUGGCAGCAGUGAGGAAUAUUGGUCAAUGGACGAGAGUCUGAACCAGCCACGUAGCGUGAAGGAUGACUGCCCUAUGGGUUGUAAACUUCUUUUAUACGGAAAUAAAACGCGGCACGUGUGCCUUUUUGCAUGUCCUUUAUCAAUACGGAUCGGCUAACUCCGUGCCAGCAGCCGCGGUAAUACGGAGGAUCCGAGCGUUAUCCGGAUUUAUUCGGUUUAAAGGGAGCGUAGAUGGGUGGUUAAGUCAGUUGUGAAAGUUUGCGGCUCAACCGUAAAAUUGCAAUUGAUACUGGCAGGCUGGAGUACAGGUGAGGUAGGCGGAAUUCGUGGUGUAGCGGUGAAAUGCGUAGAUAUCACGAAGAACCCCGAUGGCGAAGGCAGCUUACUAAACUGUGACUGACAUUGAGGCUCGAAAGUGUGGGUAUCAAACAGGAUUAGAUACCCUUGUAGUC
rnacentral:rRNA from 1 species